rnacentral:rRNA from 1 species
CUGCGGAGGGAUCAUUACACAAAUAUGAAGGCGGGCUGGAACCUCUCGGGGUUACAGCCUUGCUGAAUUAUUCACCCUUGUCUUUUGCGUACUUCUUGUUUCCUUGGUGGGUUCGCCCACCACUAGGACAAACAUAAACCUUUUGUAAUUGCAAUCAGCGUCAGUAACAAAUUAAUAAUUACAACUUUCAACAACGGAUCUCUUGGUUCUGGCAUCGAUGAAGAACGCAGCGAAAUGCGAUAAGUAGUGUGAAUUGCAGAAUUCAGUGAAUCAUCGAAUCUUUGAACGCACAUUGCGCCCUUUGGUAUUCCAAAGGGCAUGCCUGUUCGAGCGUCAUUUGUACCCUCAAGCUUUGCUUGGUGUUGGGCGUCUUGUCUCUAGCUUUGCUGGAGACUCGCCUUAAAGUAAUUGGCAGCCGGCCUACUGGUUUCGGAGCGCAGCACAAGUCGCACUCUCUAUCAGCAAAGGUCUAGCAUCCAUUAAGCCUUUUUUUCAACUUUUGACCUCGGAUCAGGUAGGGAUACCCGCUGAACUUAAGCAUAUCAAUAAGCGGAGGAAAAGAAACCAACAGGGAUUGCCCUAGUAACGGCGAGUGAAGCGGCAACAGCUCAAAUUUGAAAUCUGGCUCUUUUAGAGUCCGAGUUGUAAUUUGCAGAGGGCGCUUUGGCUUUGGCAGCGGUCCAAGUUCCUUGGAACAGGACGUCACAGAGGGUGAGAAUCCCGUACGUGGUCGCUGGCUAUUGCCGUGUAAAGCCCCUUCGACGAGUCGAGUUGUUUGGGAAUGCAGCUCUAAAUGGGAGGUACAUUUCUUCUAAAGCUAAAUAUUGGCCAGAGACCGAUAGCGCACAAGUAGAGUGAUCGAAAGAUGAAAAGCACUUUGGAAAGAGAGUCAAACAGCACGUGAAAUUGUUGAAAGGGAAGCGCUUGCAGCCAGACUUGCUUACAGUUGCUCAUCCGGGUUUCUACCCGGUGCACUCUUCUGUAGGCAGGCCAGCAUCAGUUUGGGCGGUAGGAUAAAGGUCUCUGUCACGUACCUCCUUUCGGGGAGGCCUUAUAGGGGAGACGACAUACUACCAGCCUGGAACUGAGGUCCGCGCAUCUGCUA